rnacentral:rRNA from 1 species
GACGAACGCUGGCGGCGUGCUUAACACAUGCAAGUCGAACGGAAAGGCCCGUUUCGGGGGGUCCUCGGGUGGCGAACCGGUGAGUAACACAUGCGUAACCUGGCCUUGACUCUGGGAUACCUUCAGGAAACUGGGGCUAGUACCGGAUAGGAGCUCCUUCUGCCCGGAGGGGGUUGGAGAGUUUCGGCGGCUGGGGGUGGGGUUGCGGCCUAUCCGGGUGUUGGUGGGGUAGGGGCUUACCAAGGCUUUGGCGGGUAGCCGGCCCGGGAGGGUGACCGGGCACAGUGGGACUGGGAUAGGGCCCAGACUCCGACGGGAGGCAGAAGGGGGGAAUGUUGCACUAGGGGUGGGAGCCUGAUGCAGCACCGCCGAGGGCGGGAGGGCGGUGUUCGGGUUGUAAACCGAAUUCGCUCAUGACGGAGCUGUGAGUGACGGUAGUGGGUGAAGAAGCACCGGCUAACUACGUG